UGGCUCUCGCAUCGAUGAAGAACGCAGCGAAAUGCGAUACGUAAUGUGAAUUGCAGAAUUCAGUGAAUCAUCGAAUCUUUGAACGCACCUUGCGCCCCUUGGCAUUCCGAGGGGCACACCCGUUUGAGUGUCGUGAAAUCCUCAAAACCCCUCUUCUUUGGGAGUUUUGGAAUUGGAGGUUUAAUGCUCGCUUUUGCCUUUGAAAGUGAGCUCCUCUCAAAUGAAUCAGUGGGGUCUGCUUUGCUGGUCCUUGACGUGAUAAGAUGUUUCUACGUCUUGGAUUUGGCAUCGUCCCUGCUCCUAAUCGUCUCAUGGACAAUGAUGGUGCUUCCGGUCACCGCCAUCCACAUCGGCGGGAGGCUGGACCCACAAAGAGAAAACCUUGACCUCAAAUCGGGUGAGACUACCCGCUGA
rnacentral:misc_RNA from 1 species